rnacentral:rRNA from 1 species
UACAGAGGUCUCAAGCGUUGUUCGGAUUCAUUGGGCGUAAAGGGUGCGUAGGCGGCGCGGUAAGUCGGGUGUGAAAUCUCGGGGCUUAACUCCGAAACUGCAUUCGAUACUGCCGUGCUUGAGGACUGGAGAGGAGACUGGAAUUUACGGUGUAGCGGUGAAAUGCGUAGAUAUCGUAAGGAAGACCAGUGGCGAAGGCGGGUCUCUGGACAGUUCCUGACGCUCAGGCGCGAAAGCUAGGGGAGCGAACAGG